GGUGAAGCUUUGAGGAAUGCAGGGGUCUUUAUAAACAGGUCAUUGAGAUAAUGACAGUGUAAAUGCCCUUCACUCUCAUUCUAGGAACAUCUGAAAGUCCAAGAACCUGAGAUUGAAGGGUAUGACUACCUAUUGAAACUACUCAUUGUUUAACGGGGAGCAGAGAAAUCUGAAGUGACUUUUUAAAUAGAGGAAUGUAAAUAAGUCUCUGUAUAACUGAUCAGGCAAAAUACUGAGGUCUAUUACUGUGAAAAUUUUAAAGCAAUCUGAAUAAACUGUCCAUGCUAUAUAGGUCUUCUAAAAGUAAAAUCUGGGUAAAAAAUAUUACUAUUAUUAUAUUUCAGAAGAAUCAAUGGUACUUUGAAAGAUGCAGCUAGACAAUAUAAUAUUUUCUUUUUCUUGAAGGGAGGAAGAUUUUUAAAAAAAGGAAUAACAAAUUGGGACCCUAACAUAGGAGUCAAAAAUCUCUGAUGUUCCCUUAAAAGAAAAAGCAGACACAUUUCUAAACUGGAUGAUGCAGAAAUUAUAGGACUUUUCAAUCAUCUGUUUUAUCAGCUGUGGAAGCUACGGUACAAGGGGAAUGAAGUCUGUAUGCAUUUCCUUCCUCACGACCAAAAGUUGGUGGAUGAGUGGGCUGGAAGGCCAAGAAGAAAUCUAUCCUACCCGUAUUUCCCUUUAAUAACAUAUAAAUAAGUGAAUUCUCAAAGGGUCAAUAGGAGAUCAUAAUGUCACUGCAAUGAUUGUAUGGGCUCAUGCUCAACACUAAUGACACCGAUCAAACUGAUUAACGAAUGGCUCAAGGAGAAGAAUAACUGCUUUUGUUCUGAUGUCAACCACAUCUGGUGACCUCGUGACUAUGGGAGAGCCCAGGUCUUAUGACCACCAUAUCAAGCUCUUGAGGUCUUGCCAAGGAGAAGGAAGAGAAUUUUAAAUGAACACAUCUUCACAGGAACUGACACUACCUACUCAGAUCACAUCUUCACAAGAACUGAGACUACCUACUGAUAUUAAUGCACAGAUAAAACAAUGCCAUUAAAAUAAAAGGAAGUAAUGGAAGUCAUCUUUUCUAUUUAAUGUGAAGAAUAACAGUGUCCUGGUAAUAAAACUCCUUCCCAAUUUGAACAUAAUACUGACAAUGAAAUGGUAAUGGCAUACCUAGGAGAUACCGUGAGUUCAGUUCCUGACUACUACAAUUAAGUGAAUUAUGCGAUCAAGCGAGUCAAAUGAAUUUUUUGGGUUCCCAUUGCAUGUACAAGUUAUGUUUGCACUAUGCUGCUAUUAAAUGUGCAAAGGCAUUAUGUCUAAAACAUAUAUAUAUAUAUAUACAUAUAUAUAUACACCUUAAUUAAAAGAUACUGCAAGAAAUGCUAACCAUCAUCUGAGCUUUCAGUAAAUUGUAAUCAUUGAUGACAGAUCCCCAUAACAAAUAUAACAGUAAAAGAAUGGUUUGAAAUAAUGUGAGAAUUACCAAAACAUGACAGAGACAGAAGUGAGCAAAUGCUGUGGGAAAAAUGGUGCUGACAGACUUGCAUGACACAGAAUGGGAGCAAACUUUAAAUCUGUAGAAAAUGCGGUACCUACAAAGUGCACUAAAGUGAAGCACACAAGAAUGAGGUAUGCCUGGUGUUUACACUUUAAAUGAAUUUUUUACCCAUCUCUGAUUUUGUAAUAGCAAACACUGGUCAUGUGGAAAGUGCUGGUUCGGUGAAUUCUGCAGAUGUUGACACAUAUCAGUAUACAAUACCAGUAACACACAUUUGUUAAUACUGCUGAUCUUUAAGCACCAGAAAGCUGUCAAGCUCACAGUGGCAGAUACAACAUUUCCAAAAUUCUAAUUUUUGCUUGAAAGCUCAAAUUUGUCAUCAGUGACAAAUACUGUUGGUUGUUUUCCUGGAAGUGACAGGAUAGCAUUUCACUCUGAGAAGUGUCUGUCAAAUACUGAGUGUGAACAACCGUAGAGUGUCUGUCAUUCAUCCUUUCAAGUAAAAAUGGUGUUUCAGGAAAAAAGGAGCUAGUUCAGCUUGCAACUCAAUCACACGUAUCUUUUUCUGAGUCAACCUUGAUGUUAGUAGUUUGGUACGCAAGAGAAAUGCUUUAUGCACCAUUUCCCAUUUCAUCGCACACACUAUGAAAAUGAUGUAUAAUGAAAGGUCAAGAUUGAAUAAAAUUAUCUUUUAUUGCUUCAUCAAAGGGAUUUUUAAGUGAAUUUAAAAAUUCACAGUUGGGAGCUGCCCCCCUGAUUUACGCUAAUGUGCCAGUACCCCAUCGUUGCUUUUGCACUCAAAAAUGGUAACGCAAUGAAUGAUGUCUUAUUAUUGCCAUUAUAAAAAUAGUUUUGAGCUUACAGACUAGACUCCUUGCAAGGGUCAUGGGAACCCCACAGGGGUCCACGGACGUAUUUUGGGAACCAAUGAUCACAUCAAGGAAAAUGACAGGAGAGUUUGAAAGAAAAUUUUGGCAAUGUUUAAGAAGUUUUUUGGGAAGAGGAGUAGACCAGUAGUUGAUUAGGAACUAGACAGAGAGCAUACAUUCAUAUUUGUUUUUGAAACAGAUGAUACAUUUAGGUCAAAAAUAAUAAAAAAUGCUAAUUCCCAGGAGAACAUGUUUCAACCACACACUAUUGAAUCCGAUUUCUCUUAAAUAUUGUUACCAUUUUUUUUUUUUUUUUUUACAUCAAAGAUGAUUUAGUUUUGGAUGUACAAAGUGACAAAACACUGAACUCCGUUAUGAUGGAGUUCAACGUGAGCCUUUUUUGGUGAGGCGAACUAAAGCUUCCUCCAAGAAGUAAAAUUCCUGACUGACUUAUUCAUUUCUAACUAAUGCUUAUUUAUGGAAAACAUACACCUUAUUUAUAUCAAACAUAUACUUUAUGCAAUGUUAUAACUGAAGGAUUCAGUCUGUCAGAGGGAUAAGAAAAGGUACAUUUUAAAAUGGUGUAAAGUAAGAAAUUCUUUAGAAUUAAAAAGAAAAUGACAGAAAAAUUCCUUUUCAUUUUAGGAUAGACAUUAAACAACUGGCUGCAUACAGGCUGAACGAUCAAAACAUGUGCUUUAGUAUUCUAAAAAGCUAACCAACACAAAAGCUAAUUAUUUGAAUUAACUCCAAAUAGUCUACUAAGCAAUGCUUAAACCAACUUCAUGUACAAAUUAAAACAUGAUCUCUAUGUGUAUCUUAAUUUUUAAAAACUAUAUAUGCCACCAUGCAUUGUUAUCCUAAUAUUAAAUUGGGUACAUAAGGAGAUGAUUUCAAUAAGCCACAUAUGCAGCUGGUUAGAAGAGAUUAGCACUUUUCUUAAAAAAAAAAAGUUUAUUUACUUUAAGAGAAACCAAGAGUAAGAGUGAGA